rnacentral:rRNA from 1 species
AUUGAACGCUGGCGGCAGGCCUAACACAUGCAAGUCGAACGAGUGGCGGACGGGUGAGUAAUGUCUGGGAAACUGCCCGAUGGAGGGGGAUAACUACUGGAAACGGUAGCUAAUACCGCAUACCAUCGGAUGUGCCAAGAUGGGAUUAGAUUGUAGGUGAGGUAACGGCUCAACUAGGCGACGAGCCCUAGCUGGUCUGAGAGGAUGACCAGCCACAAUGGAACGUCGACACCGUCCAUACUCCUACGGGAGGCAUCAGUAGGGAAUAUUGCACAAUGGGCGCAAGCCUGAUGCAGCCAUGCCGCGUGUGUGACGAAGGCCUUCGGGUUGUAAAGCACGUUCAGCUGGGAGGCGUUACCCGCAUAAGAAGCACAGGCUAACUCCGUGCCAGCAGCCGCGGUAAUAC